UACGGGUGGCAGCAGUGGGGAAUAUUGGACAAUGGGCGAAAGCCUGAUCCAGCCAUGCCGCGUGUGUGAAGAAGGCCUUCGGGUUGUAAAGCACUUUCAGUGGGGAAGAAAGCCUUGGGGCUAAUACCCUCGAGGAAGGACAUCACCCACAGAAGAAGCACCGGCUAACUCCGUGCCAGCAGCCGCGGUAAUACGGAGGGUGCGAGCGUUAAUCGGAAUUACUGGGCGUAAAGCGCGCGUAGGCGGUCUGAUAAGCCGGUUGUGAAAGCCCCGGGCUCAACCUGGGAACGGCAUCCGGAACUGUCAGGCUAGAGUGCAGGAGAGGAAGGUAGAAUUCCCGGUGUAGCGGUGAAAUGCGUAGAGAUCGGGAGGAAUACCAGUGGCGAAGGCGGCCUUCUGGACUGACACUGACGCUGAGGUGCGAAAGCGUGGGUAGCAAACAGGAUUAGAUACCCUUGUAGUC
rnacentral:rRNA from 1 species